GACUCCUAGCAAGAUAUGAAGGUAGUGCGAGCUUACCAUGCAGUCGAGCGGAUGAAGUAGCUUGCUACUGGAUUCAGCGGCGGACGGGUGAGUAAUACUUAGGAAUCUGCCCAUUAAUGGGGGACAACAGUUGGAAACGACUGCUAAUACCGCAUACGCCCUACGGGGGAAAGCAGGGGAUCUUCGGACCUUGCGUUAAUGGAUGAGCCUAAGUCAGAUUAGCUAGUUGGUGGGGUAAAGGCCUACCAAGGCGACGAUCUGUAGCGGGUCUGAGAGGAUGAUCCGCCACACUGGGACUGAGACACGGCCCAGACUCCUACGGGAGGCAGCAGUGGGGAAUAUUGGACAAUGGGGGGAACCCUGAUCCAGCCAUGCCGCGUGUGUGAAGAAGGCCUUUUGGUUGUAAAGCACUUUAAGCGAGGAGGAGGCGCCCUAGACUAAUACUCUAGGUGCGUGGACGUUACUCGCAGAAUAAGCACCGGCUAACUCUGUGCCAGCAGCCGCGGUAAUACAGAGGGUGCGAGCGUUAAUCGGAUUUACUGGGCGUAAAGCGUGCGUAGGUGGCCAAUUAAGUCAAAUGUGAAAUCCCUGAGCUUAACUUAGGAAUUGCAUUCGAUACUGGUUGGCUAGAGUAUGGGAGAGGAUGGUAGAAUUCCAGGUGUAGCGGUGAAAUGCGUAGAGAUCUGGAGGAAUACCGAUGGCGAAGGCAGCCAUCUGGCCUAAUACUGACACUGAGGCACGAAAGCAUGGGGAGCAAACAGGAUUAGAUACCCUGGUAGUCCAUGCCGUAAACGAUGUCUACUAGCCGUUGGGGUCUUUGAGACUUUAGUGGCGCAGCUAACGCGAUAAGUAGACCGCCUGGGGAGUACGGUCGCAAGACUAAAACUCAAAUGAAUUGACGGGGGCCCGCACAAGCGGUGGAGCAUGUGGUUUAAUUCGAUGCAACGCGAAGAACCUUACCUGGUCUUGACAUAGUAAGAACUUUCCAGAGAUGGAUUGGUGCCUUCGGGAGCUUACAUACAGGUGCUGCAUGGCUGUCGUCAGCUCGUGUCGUGAGAUGUUGGGUUAAGUCCCGCAACGAGCGCAACCCUUUUCCUUAUUUGCCAGCGGGUUAAGCCGGGAACUUUAAGGAUACUGCCAGUGACAAACUGGAGGAAGGCGGGGACGACGUCAAGUCAUCAUGGCCCUUACGACCAGGGCUACACACGUGCUACAAUGGUCGGUACAAAGGGUUGCUACCUAGCGAUAGGAUGCUAAUCUCAAAAAGCCGAUCGUAGUCCGGAUUGGAGUCUGCAACUCGACUCCAUGAAGUCGGAAUCGCUAGUAAUUCGCGAUUCAGAAUUUCUUCUCUAAU
rnacentral:rRNA from 1 species